AGAUGCGAGGAAGAAGAGGGGCUUUUCUGCCAUGCUUGGGAACUAGAAGAGAGUAGCAACCAUAAUGCUCGUUAUGAACCAUUGAAUUGAUUUACAUGACCCUCCAGUGAUAUAUACAUCCUCCAAUGAUACAUCCUCCAGCGUGUAAAGAGCCAAUUCAGACAUUAAAGGCUUUAAGGAGUUAGAAAAUGCAGACCUUGAAGGUAUCUCUCCUGGUCCAGGCCUUUGGGGUUCCUUUAGUCCCUAAAUCUGGGAGUGAAGAGGUAAGAGUACAUUGAGCAUCCCUGAAUAGUGUUGGAGAAGUACUGACCCCUCCCUGUCUCCUUUCACUCAUCUGCCAAAUGGGGGAUCGAAGGAGUCUCGGGGGGUGAACGCCACUGACCAGGCUCCGUUUGACUUGAGGAACUGGUCUCAUCCCUUCUGCUUCAAUUCUUAGUUCAUAAGAUGGGCAUUAAGAUCCCAACCUUUCCCCCUCCCCAGCAGAGCUGGAAGGAUCUGCUCAGACAAAUUGCUAUGCAGAUGCACGGAAUCACCAGCAAGCUCCAGCACAAUUGAAAAGUGAUUUCUAAAAUACCCAGGGCCAUUAGGAUUUGGAGCGGACAUGACCCAGAGGCUUGUUCUUAAAUACCCCACCAGGGGUUUUCAGUUUAUUUACCAAGACUGGAAAUCCAGACCACACAAUUUGGACCUUCCCAUAGAGAACACGGGAUGCCUGUCACUUUCAGAGCAAGCAAUGAGCCUAGCACUGAGGCUGGCAGUAUAGGGUAAGAGUCUCAUUACAGGCUGAAUUGUGUAACUCUCAUGUACCUGGAGAAGUCGGGCUUUGACUGUCUGUACUUGACGAUAAAAAUCUUUGAAGAUGUGACUGAAUGGCAGCGAGAACGAAACUGGAGUUACAGGUGGGCCACUAGUUCAGUGUGGCUGUUGUCCCCACAAGAGCAGGAAUUUUGGACACAUCAAGAGAUAACGGAGCUACACAUACAAAGAAAAGGAGCCUGUGACACUAGGCAUGCUGACACAUGCCAGGAGACAGAGUCAGGGGUGCUUUUUAAUAUUUCACACAACAGGGGAUCAAGAGUUGGAGGCCACCCUCUGCUUACACACUGAGUUCCAAACCAGCUUGAAUUACAUAGUGAGACUGUCCUCCAAGAAACAAUGACAACAACAACAACAACAACUACUACUACUACUACCACUACUGCUACUACUACUACUGUACUACUACCACGGAGCACAUAUGUAUAUAGGCAUAAAAAAGCCAUGGAGAGAGAUCUGAAGAAAAACCAACUCUACCCACACCCGAGUCUUAGACUUCUAGCCUUCAAAAGUUCAAGAAAAUAAAUGCUUAUUGCUU
ensembl:lincRNA 2410012E07Rik uncharacterized LOC110325034